GCGAAUGCGACUGGCGGGGCGGCCAGUCCCGGGAGUGGCGCCCGCCACCGCCUCGGGGACGGUCGGGCAUCUGCCCGCGCGGCCGGCGGGGCGUCGGGGCGGCCGCGAGCCCGGGGGCCGGCGGGCGGGAGCGCGGCCGAGCGUGCGGACAUGGGCCGGCGGCCGCCCCAGGGCUGCGGGCUCCGCGCCCUCCCCGCGCCGCUGCCGCUGCCGCUGCUGUUGCUGCUGCUGCUCCGGCCGCCGGCGACGCCCGGCGUCACGUGCCCUCCUCCCACGUCUGUGGAACAUGCAGACAUCCGGGUCAAGAGUUACACACUGAACUCCACUGAGCGGUAUACCUGUAACCCUGGCUUCAAGCGGAAAGCCGGGACGUCCACCCUGACAGAGUGCGUGCUCAACAAGACCACCAACACUGCCCACUGGACAACUCCCAAUCUCAAGUGCAUCACCAGUUCUGAAGCAAGUCUCCACCCUCAGGCUCAUAAAUGCCAUGUGGUUAUGCUCUCUCUAGGAGACCCCUCCCUGACUCAUCUAAAGCCAUCCUCUACAGAAAUGCCGGCAGGGGUGACCCCAGAGCCAGAGAGCACCUCCCUUUCUGGAAAAGAGCCAGCUUUCACUUCCAAGUCAGACAGCACAGUGGCCACAAAGGCAGCUACUGAGCCAGGCUCCAGGCUGAUACCAUCAAAGCCUCCGGCUGCGGGAACCACAGGGGUAAUCAAUAAUGAACCCUCCCGAGCCCCAGCUCAGACAACAGCAAAGGCCUUGGAACACACCCCCUCUGCCUCGCAGGAGACGCCAGGUACCUAUUCAUACAGUUCCGGAACUGUGACUGCGGCCAUCGUCAUGCCUGUCGCUGUGCUCUGUGUAGUAUGUGUGGGACUUCUGGUGUGUUACAAAAGAUCCAGGCACUGUAGCCGACAUCUUACUACGGAAGCUGAAGAUUGAACACGUUCCUGCCAGUCACACGUCCACAUGUUUCCCGGCCUCCAUCACACACACUAACAUUAGCAAGCCUAUGAAAGCACAGCUAUGUGCCACUGAGUUUAUGCCAUUUCUGUAUGGUUUCAGAAGACAUGUUUAGUCCACCAAGUUCCCUGGAGCCCCCCACCCACACCCUGCUGCCCACCAGCUUCUGGUCUCACUGCAACUGACCAUGCUAUGCCACACUGACUUCAGAGUGUCAGUCAAACAACCCUCCGCCUUCACUUGACUCAGAUGCUGAUGACCACUUUUGUCUAAGCUCCUUCCUCCCUUAAAUUCUCUCUUUUGGCAUCAGUUAUCAUUCUCUCCAAAAAUCCUCUUCCUUUCUUUACCCCAAGCCUGGUGUUCCUCGGGCUUCUCAAACCCCUGCUCUUCUCAAUAUUCUGCUGGAAUAAACACAAGAUCCUUAAACUGCACCACCUUAACCACCACUUACACAAUGACAACCCUAAAAUCUCUAGCUCCAGCCCAAGGCCAUCUGCUGAAGUAUAGACCCAUUUCCCCACCAACUUCCUGGACAAUUCUACUUGAAUUUCUCACAAGUACCCCAAAUUCAACAUGUCCAAAACUGAAGUCAUCAUUGUGUUCACAAACCUAUUACACCUCCCAUGUUCUGUCAUAAUGGAGGGUGCUCUCAUCUACCUUGCAAAAAGCCAGAAGACCGGAAGUCCUCCUGAGAUCCUGUGGCUGGCGAGCCAGACGACCGGAAGUCCCCCUGAGAUCCUGUGGCUGACGAGCCAGGCGACCGGAAGUCCCCCUGAGAUCCUGUGGCUGACGAGCCAGACGACCGGAAGUCCCCCUGAGGUCCUGUGGCUGGCGAGCCAAGCAACAGGAAAUCCCCCUGAGAUCCUGUCACAGUCCAUCCCCAUCUAAACACUCUCAGGGUCCUAUUGGUUUUACCUUAAUAUCUAGAAUAAGAGUUCUCAAAAUUCUGCAUGCAACAGCAUCGCUUGUGGGCUUGUUAAAUACCAACUGCUGAGCCUCAAUGUGACAGUUUCUGAUCCAGACCAAGAAUGUGUAAUUUCCAACAGGUUCCCAGGUGAUGCUGAUGCUGCUCAUCUGGGGACUACACUUUGAGAACCGCUAAUCUAGUCACCAGCACUCCUCACCUGUCCACUUGAGUCCCGUAGUCGAGCACAGCCCUGUGCUAAGAUGAUAACAUUUUAAUUUAGCUGACCUUUGUAAAACAUCCUCCAAUCUACAACUGGAACAUCCUUCCUAGAAAAUCAAUCUGCAGUCUUAAAAUUUCCAGUGAUUCCUCCUAAUUUUUCCAAAUAACACUCAGACUCCCUGGCCUGCUGUUCAAGGCCCUUGGCCAUCUGGCCCUGACCCCCCACCCGGCCCCCGCUAGCCAGCUACCAUUGUGCACAUACUCUACUCUGGCCACACAGAUGCCUCUGAUUUACUCAAGCAUCUCCUUCAGCUUCACACCAUCAGUGACUGCACUCUCAGCUACUGCUAUUCUGUGAUAUUUUACAAUACCUAUCAAUGAAUAUUUUAGAGUGUCCUAAUACCAAUCAUCUCAUUACCUUUUUAGAUAUCUAAAAUCUGAGGGGUGCCUGGGUGGCUCAGUCAGUUAAGUGUCCAACUUCGGCUCAGGUCGUCAUCCCGCAG